rnacentral:rRNA from 1 species
UACGUAGGGUGCGAGCGUUGUCCGGAAUUACUGGGCGUAAAGAGCUCGUAGGUGGUUUGUCGCGUUGUCCGUGAAAACUCACAACUCAAUUGUGGGCGUGCGGGCGAUACGGGCAGACUGGAGUACUGCAGGGGAGACUGGAAUUCCUGGUGUAGCGGUGGAAUGCGCAGAUAUCAGGAGGAACACCGGUGGCGAAGGCGGUCUGCUGGGGUCGAACUGACGCUGAGGCGCGACAGCGUGGGGAGCAAACAGG